rnacentral:misc_RNA from 1 species
UUUUAACACUUCUGUUUACAGUGAGAGAUUUUAUCAGUUUUAUUUGAAUCUAAUUAUUUUUUUUAAACAAAAAAUUUAACAUUUUUCAUGAGGUGAUUAGGAGACAGAAAAAGGAAUUAUAUGUCGUUUGUGAUCAGAGGUGUAAUUGAUCUGGCUUAGAGCUUCUGAAGAACUUUGCUUUUUUCUUUUUCACAUUCACUGUUGUCUUGGUUCAAUUUUGUAGGCAAGAAAAGUGUCUCUUACCUUCUUCCAUCAUUUUUUUGACCAAAAAGGAGGACUUGUUUUGGAGUGGAG